AUUCUGCCCAUGCGGGGAAGGAUGAGAAGCUUCGAUUAAGGUUCGAUUCGAGCGUAGCGAGAAAGCGUUGCCGCAGGCA
rnacentral:sRNA from 1 species